rnacentral:lncRNA from 1 species
UCUCCGGAAAACACAACCCAUAUGCUACUCAUCGCCUUGUCACCUCUCAGUCGAGAAAAUAGAUUCAAAAAUUGUGGUCGAUAUUUGGAGAUGUAAUCAGAUUUAAUCAUUGUUAGUCCCGAUUACUUUUGAAUUUCUGAUAGGUUUCAAUUUUCAAUCAGCUUGGGAGGAUUACUAUAGGAAUUUGGGUUUGAAAGUUGAGGAUUGAUAUUUCAGGUCAG